rnacentral:rRNA from 1 species
UUUUCCUACGGGGGGCAGCAGUGGGGGAUAUUGCACAAUGGGGGGAACCCUGAUGCAGCGACGCCGCGUGAGUGAAGAAGUAAUUCGUUAUGUAAAGCUCUAUCAGCAGGGAAGAAUAAAUGACGGUACCUGAGUAAGAAGCCCCGGCUAACUACGUGCCAGCAGCCGCGGUAAUACGUAGGGGGCAAGCGCUAUCCGGAUUUACUGGGUGUAAAGGGAGCGUAGGCGGGCUUGUAAGUUGAAUGUCUAAUCCACCGGCUCAACCGGUGAUCGCGUUCAAAACUGCAGGUCUUGAGUGAAGUAGA